GACGAACGCUGGCGGCGCGCUUAACACAUGCAAGUCGAACGGAAAGGCCCUGCUUUUGUGGGGUGCUCGAGUGGCGAACGGGUGAGUAACACGUGAGUAACCUGCCCUUGACUUUGGGAUAACUUCAGGAAACUGGGGCUAAUACCGGAUAGGAGCUCCUGCUGCAUGGUGGGGGUUGGAAAGUUUCGGCGGUUGGGGAUGGACUCGCGGCUUAUCAGCUUGUUGGUGGGGUAGUGGCUUACCAAGGCUUUGACGGGUAGCCGGCCUGAGAGGGUGACCGGCCACAUUGGGACUGAGAUACGGCCCAGACUCCUACGGGAGGCAGCAGUGGGGAAUAUUGCACAAUGGGCGGAAGCCUGAUGCAGCAACGCCGCGUGCGGGAUGACGGCCUUCGGGUUGUAAACCGCUUUCGCCUGUGACGAAGCGUGAGUGGCGGUAAUGGGUAAAGAAGCACCGGCUAACUACGUG
rnacentral:rRNA from 1 species